rnacentral:pre_miRNA from 1 species
AUCACCUGGGGAUCUUGUUAAAUAGCAAAUUCUAAUUCAGUAGAUCUGGGCUGGGACCCAAGAUUUUGCAGUUCCAACAAGCUCCCAGUGAUUCAUA